rnacentral:rRNA from 1 species
AUUGAACGCUGGCGGUAUGCUUAACACAUGCAAGUCGAACGGUAGCAGGCCUUCGGGCGCUGACGAGUGGCGGACGGGUGAGUAAUGCAUAGGAAUCUGCCUAUUAGUGGGGGACAACGUGGGGAAACUCACGCUAAUACCGCAUACGCCCUACGGGGGAAAGCUGGGGACCUUCGGGCCUGGCGCUAAUAGAUGAGCCUAUGUUGGAUUAGCUAGUUGGUAGGGUAAAGGCCUACCAAGGCGACGAUCCAUAGCUGGUCUGAGAGGAUGAUCAGCCACACUGGGACUGAGACACGGCCCAGACUCCUACGGGAGGCAGCAGUGGGGAAUAUUGGACAAUGGGCGAAAGCCUGAUCCAGCAAUACCGCGUGUGUGAAGAAGGCCUGAGGGUUGUAAAGCACUUUCAAUAGGAAGGAAUACCUAUCGGCGAAUACCCGGUAGACUGACAUUACCUAUACAAGAAGCACCGGCUAACUCCGUGCCAGCAG